CGCGUAGGCGGUCUCUUAAGUCAGCUGUGAAAGCCCGGGGCUCAACCCCGGAAGUGCAUUUGAAACUAAGGGACUUGAGUAUGGGAGAGGGAAGUGGAAUUCCUGGUGUAGCGGUGAAAUGCGUAGAUAUCAGGAGGAACACCGGUGGCGAAGGCGACUUCCUGGACCAAUACUGACGCUCAGGCGCGAAGGCGUGGGGAGCAAACA
rnacentral:rRNA from 1 species